GACGUCCACUUUCUGUUUCCUCCGGGCUCCCGGCCUCAUGUGAGUCCGGCGGCCCGUGGUACCUCGUUGCAGUAAAUUGGAGUUAAGUGGUGGGAAGUGGCCACUGCUCACACACAUCAUCGUCUGUGGAAGUUCUCUUGCAGGGUCUGGGAGAAUCCGCUGCCAGCGAGCAGGAAAAGCAGACGCUGAGUUCCUCCGCAGCCUUUUUUCCUCCGCUGAAGAGCAGGAUGGCGAACUGCGGCACAUGUUUCUGGUGCAUCGUCUGGCUGGUGAUCCUGCUGUGCAUCGGCUGGCCCCUCAGCAUCAUGCUCGGGGGGCUCUACGGUCUGAUCACCCCCCUCACCACCUGCCUCGGCCUGGACCGGCUCUCUGAUUUGCUCCUGGAGGGGGCCAACAUAGGCCGGACCUGCGCCAACAACAUGAGGCACGGGAAGCCUCUGUGUUAGCGUCCGGUCAGUGUCCGGCAUCCUGAGAUGACCGGCGCUCGCUGCAGAGAGAAACCUUCCACAAACCUUCGCCACAAGGUCCAGAAGGUCUGGAAAGUGGAUUCCGCUCUCACGGUUAACAUGUCAUUAACCGCGGGUUUCACAUUUCUCUGGGUUUGUCAGGAGGAAAACAGGCUUUGUGUCCACGGUCUGCGUCUGCUGUUUAAUUCACCAUGACACUGCGUGCAAAAGAUAAGAAUGAAAAUAGCUAUUUAACAAAGGAAAUGUUUAGACUUGUAAAUGACUGUACGGAAACUUCUAAUGCGAUUAAAAAUGGCUUUGAACUUG